GACGAACGCUGGCGGCGUGCCUAAUACAUGCAAGUCGAGCGAAGUUUUUCUGGUGCUUGCACUAGAAAAACUUAGCGGCGAACGGGUGAGUAACACGUAAAGAACCUGCCUCAUAGACUGGGACAACUAUUGGAAACGAUAGCUAAUACCGGAUAACAGCAUUAACUGCAUGGUUGAUGUUUAAAAGUUGGUUUUGCUAACACUAUGAGAUGGCUUUGCGGUGCAUUAGCUAGUUGGUGGGGUAAAGGCCUACCAAGGCGACGAUGCAUAGCCGACCUGAGAGGGUGAUCGGCCACACUGGGACUGAGACACGGCCCAGACUCCUACGGGAGGCAGCAGUAGGGAAUCUUCCGCAAUGGGCGAAAGCCUGACGGAGCAACGCCGCGUGAGUGAAGAAGGAUUUCGGUUCGUAAAGCUCUGUUGUUAGGGAAGAAUGAUUGUGUAGUAACUAUACACAGUAG
rnacentral:rRNA from 1 species